AAAUUGAAGAGUUUGAUCAUGGCUCAGAUUGAACGCUGGCGGCAGGCCUAACACAUGCAAGUCGAACGGUAACAGGAAGCAGCUUGGCUGCUUUGCUGACGAGUGGCGGACGGGUGAGUAAUGUCUGGGAAACUGCCUGAUGGAGGGGGAUAACUACUGGAAACGGUGGCUAAUACCGCAUAACGUCGCAAGACCAAAGAGGGGGACCUUCGGGCCUCUUGCCAUCAGAUGUGCCCAGAUGGGAUUAGCUUGUUGGUGAGGUAACGGCUCACCAAGGCGACGAUCCCUAGCUGGUCUGAGAGGAUGACCAGCCACACUGGAACUGAGACACGGUCCAGACUCCUACGGGAGGCAGCAGUGGGGAAUAUUGCACAAUGGGCGCAAGCCUGAUGCAGCCAUGCCGCGUGUAUGAAGAAGGCCUUCGGGUUGUAAAGUACUUUCAGCGGGGAGGAAGGUGUUGUGGUUAAUAACCGCAGCAAUUGACGUUACCCGCAGAAGAAGCACCGGCUAACUCCGUGCCAGCAGCCGCGGUAAUACGGAGGGUGCAAGCGUUAAUCGGAAUUACUGGGCGUAAAGCGCACGCAGGCGGUCUGUCAAGUCGGAUGUGAAAUCCCCGGGCUCAACCUGGGAACUGCAUUCGAAACUGGCAGGCUUGAGUCUUGUAGAGGGGGGUAGAAUUCCAGGUGUAGCGGUGAAAUGCGUAGAGAUCUGGAGGAAUACCGGUGGCGAAGGCGGCCCCCUGGACAAAGACUGACGCUCAGGUGCGAAAGCGUGGGGAGCAAACAGGAUUAGAUACCCUGGUAGUCCACGCCGUAAACGAUGUCUACUUGGAGGUUGUGCCCUUGAGGCGUGGCUUCCGGAGCUAACGCGUUAAGUAGACCGCCUGGGGAGUACGGCCGCAAGGUUAAAACUCAAAUGAAUUGACGGGGGCCCGCACAAGCGGUGGAGCAUGUGGUUUAAUUCGAUGCAACGCGAAGAACCUUACCUGGUCUUGACAUCCACAGAACUUUCCAGAGAUGGAUUGGUGCCUUCGGGAACUGUGAGACAGGUGCUGCAUGGCUGUCGUCAGCUCGUGUUGUGAAAUGUUGGGUUAAGUCCCGCAACGAGCGCAACCCUUAUCCUUUGUUGCCAGCGGUCCGGCCGGGAACUCAAAGGAGACUGCCAGUGAUAAACUGGAGGAAGGUGGGGAUGACGUCAAGUCAUCAUGGCCCUUACGACCAGGGCUACACACGUGCUACAAUGGCGCAUACAAAGAGAAGCGACCUCGCGAGAGCAAGCGGACCUCAUAAAGUGCGUCGUAGUCCGGAUUGGAGUCUGCAACUCGACUCCAUGAAGUCGGAAUCGCUAGUAAUCGUGGAUCAGAAUGCCACGGUGAAUACGUUCCCGGGCCUUGUACACACCGCCCGUCACACCAUGGGAGUGGGUUGCAAAAGAAGUAGGUAGCUUAACCUUCGGGAGGGCGCUUACCACUUUGUGAUUCAUGACUGGGGUGAAGUCGUAACAAGGUAACCGUAGGGGAACCUGCGGUUGGAUCACCUCCUUA
rnacentral:rRNA from 2 species